CACGAGUGUCCAGAGGGAGCCAGUGCCACCGGCCACGCGGCCCAAGACCUUCCAGGGCCUUCCCUUCAUGGUCUUGCAGGCAGCUGGGCCUGCUGGGGCCGGAAGGGAGCUGGGCCCCUCAGACACAGCCGAGGAAAACUUGACUGCUGGUGUGCCAGAUCCGUCCACAGGUCCCCAGGGAUUCCCCAAGUGAAUUCUGUCCUCUAAAGCUCGUCACAAACAGCAGCUGGGGAGACGCCAGGCUACCCCCGAGUGUAUUGAAUGAAGAUGGCAAGUGACAUUUUAGUGUGACUUAGCAGGAGUUUUGACCUUGAAGACCCUCUGAAAGGGCCAUGCCUAGGCUCCCCAGACCACAUCUGGGGAGCCGUUGCCAUGGUGGCCCGGAACCUGCGCUUGAGAGCAAGACUGCCUAAGUUUAAAACUUGCUCUACUGUGGCUGCUCCUGCAGGCCUCUUAUUUGGUGCCUCCACAUCUUCAGCUGAAAAUGAGUUCAGUUGGAGCCCCCAGAACCCGGAGGCAGCUCUGCAACUGGCAGUGCACACAUCCCCCUGGGUGCCAGCUCCAGGGCCAGCUCACGGGGACGUGUGGAUCCAGCUUCCUUCCACUAAGAGCCAGUCGGGCUCAUCCAUCCAGGGCUGUUCCGAGGUUGGGGUGUGUAGGACAAACUUGCCAGCAGAUCCAAUUAAAGGAGCAAUGCUAGAUGCGCUGAUGCACACACAGGGGACAUGAAACCAUGCACUCGGCCUGUGUGUGCUGCCCUUGAAAACCGCCCUGAUGUGAUCAGGCGUUGCUUACUUGAAGAAUAACCACAGCAACACAUGGAUGAAAAGAGAAGAACGCUUUUUACAAAACUCUCCUGGGGACAGAAUGGUUGUGAGUGCAAGGGACAACUCCGAUGCAAAGUGGUUGUCUUCUCAAGCCACCUGGGGCCUCAUUGUCCUCCUCCUUGUUCCUCCCGGGACUCCACCCACUCCCACACAAGGCGCUCUGGGUUUCUUUCUUUAAUGCCGUAAUUUUCUUUUCUUUUCUUUUUUGAGACAAAGUCUCACUCUGUCACCAGUUUGGAGUGCUGUGGCACAAUCUGGGCUCACUGCAACCUCCACCUUCCGGGUUCAAGCGAUUCUGCUACCUCAGCCUCCCGCAAUGCCGUAAUUUUCAAUGUAGGGCCAUCCUUCCUCUUCAUCACCCCAGUGCUAUGGGCACAUAUUUACUGAGCAGUGGCAGCUCUUUCACCUAGAGAUGCACAGGGAGCAGCCCUGAGUCUAAUUUUCCUGCUGCGUCAGCCUUGCCUUUGCUAACCAGAGUGACAUUCUGGGUGGACCUUUGGGGCCCGCCCCCCAGUUUUUACCAUAGAGCCAGUUCUCAGCCACUGGCUCGCCUCUUACAGUCUUAGAAAUUUAGAGCUGAAGGAGCUGUGCAGGUCACCGCUUUCAACUCCUAGUUAUAGAGUUGAGGAACUAGGCUGGAAAGAGUGAAGGACUUUGUGACUAUUACGUGGACAGCAAGGAAGACGUUUCUGAACCUGUGACACCUGCUGGGAAGGAGGAACACAGGCACACGGCUCCAUGACUAUUCUCUCUUCCAGUGCCUUCUGCUCAACCCUGGAGCCCUGUGGACGGGGAAAAACGAUCUGCUUCUCAUAAAGUAAAAUGCUUUAGAAGCUCAGAGAAAGAGUCUUACCUAAAUAAAUAGAUGAAUAAAG
rnacentral:lncRNA from 10 species